rnacentral:rRNA from 1 species
GGGAAUUUUGGGCAAUGGGCGAAAGCCUGACCCAGCAACGCCGCGUGAAGGAUGAAAUCCCUCGGGAUGUAAACUUCGCAAGAACGGGAAGAAUAAGCCGGUGUCAACACCACCGGCGAUGACGGUACUGUUUGUAAGCUCCGGCUAACUCCGUGCCAGCAGCCGCGGUAAUACGUAGGGGGCGAGCGUUGCCCGGAUUUAUUGGGCGUAAAGCGCGCGCGGGCGGCCUGACAGGUCCCCUGUGAAAUCUCCGGGCUCAACCCGGAGGGGUCAGGGGAUACCGGCAGGCUAGGGCCUGGGAGGGGGAAGCGGAAUUCCCGGUGUAGUGGUGGAAUGCGUAGAUAUCGGGAGGAACACCAGUGGCGAAGGCGGCUUCCUGGACCAGUGCCGACGCUGAGGCGCGAAAGCGUGGGGAGCGAU